rnacentral:misc_RNA from 1 species
CACUCAUCAUUGCACAAUUUCUCCCCAAAAAUGGCAGCCUCCCGGCCAAUCAUCCUAAUCACCAACGACGACGGCAUCGACGCCGCCGGACUCCGCGCCCUCGUGCAUGCCCUCGUCUCCACCGACCGCUACCGCGUUUUCGUCUCCGCCCCCAAUUCGGACAAGUCUGGAGUGAGCCACUCCUUCACCUGGCGGCCGGCGCUCUGUUGCAAGCGUGUUGAGAUCGAAGGGGCCACGGCAUUUUCGGUCACAGGAACCCCUGCAGAUUGCGCUGACUUGGGCAUCUCCGGCAAACUUUUUGAUGGCGAAGUUCCUGAUCUGGUGAUCAGUGGCAUCAAUAUUGGUAGCAACUGCGGAUAUCAUAUUGUCUACUCAGGGACAGUUGCUGGUGCACGGGAGGCAUUCAUGUCGGGUGUACCUUCGUUAGCUUUAUCAUAUAAUUGGGUGGG